ensembl:lncRNA
GCAAUGCAUAUAGUAUUAGAGAUUGGGCCAUCUACUUCCUGCCCAGGAAAGCCCCUCCAGGGACAGCAGAAUCAGAUAACUAGAGUUAGCAUUCUGAGAACUAUAUUGUUCCAAAUUAACAUGUGAGAUUUUAAUUUUUUUUCUUAUUUUCUUGUUUAGUUACAUUUUUAUCAUUUGCAUGAGGUUCUAAGACUUAACAUCUGUGGGAAGCCGGAAACCAGAGAUGUAGAGAAGUACUGAAAUGCUGAAAUGCUAUGAAUUUACUAUAAAAGAACAUUCUUCACUGAAGAGAUCUAUAGCUGCCAAAACACCCUUUCAUGGGUGAGAAGACGGGGGUAAGGAAAAAGAAAAAGAGAAGAGUAUGAUUCUAGGAACCACAUUGCAGAAAUGCCAAAGGGAGGGACAAACAAAUGAAUUUGCCUUUCUUCAAGCAUCAGAAUACAGGAAAAUGAAAAUUUUUUUUCUUUUCUUACUUCUUUCUUACUGUUGUGUGUCAUAUUUUAUUAACAGUAUUGCAACAAAGCAGAGCAAAAAAUGUUCAAGAUAUUUUCAUUGUGAUAAUUUGCUAUUUCGGGUACUUUGUGGGUUAGAUGGGGUGUUGGGGUCAAGUGUGUGGUCAGCAUGAGCACUACAAACACUGUUUUUAGAGGAAAAUGAGUUUCAAAUAUCAAUUGACCUAAAAUGAACUCUUUGAACAUGUCUGAUGUUUUAAUGUGAGAAAUUUGUUUCUGCAUAUUUUUAGUGUCAGUUAGUAAGAUUGGUCAACUCUUUGUUUGUUUGUUUGUUUUUUGAGACAGAGUCUUACUCUGUCGCCUAGUUUGGAGUGUAGCAACACUAUCUCAGUUCACUGCAACCUCUGCCUCCGGGGUUCAAGCAAGUUUCUGCCUCAGCCUCCCAAAUAGCUGGGAUUACAGAUGCCUGCCACGAUGCCUGGCUACUUUUUAAAUUUUUAGUAGAGACGGGAUUUCACCAUGUUGGUCGGGUUGGCUUUGAACUCCUGACCCCAUGAUCUACCCAACUCAGCCUCCCAAAGUGCUGGGAUUACAGGCGUAAGCCACCAUGCCCGGCCAACUCUUUCAUUAUGUCAUAUGUACAGGGCAGACAAUGGAACUGAAGACAUGUAUAUCUUAGAAUGUGCUGUAAAAUCUCUUAUGAUCCCUGGGAACAUAUAUCCUUGAGAAUCCCCAGUAACAUAUCGUUGUGAUUUUUUAUGAUACAAGGGAUGAAGUGGGAGAAAACCGGGGUUGACAGGUUGUGGCCUUUUAGAGAAGGGCUGUCUGGCUCCAUGUCAAAGAUGUUGGAAAGAUGUCAUAGUGUGGGUAAGGCUUGAUCAUCCAACUUAGAGAAUUAGUGACCAUGACUGAGAGAGACUGAUAAGCCCUCUCACUGUGGUCAAUGCAUUUACAGGUGUGAAAAGAGCUGAUGUAAUGGUUUGAAAAAUAUCUUAAGAAGCCCAUUGCUGCCUUAUUUUGCAUGCAAGCAGAGACACUGAUGAUAUGCUUGAUUAUUUCGGAACUAAGUGGAUUAAUUUUCCCUAAAAAUUCCGGGUAGAGACUAUAAGGAAGCAAUGAACAGAAUGAGGCAACCCACAGAACUUGGUAGAUAGACAUUCAGACUAGAGAGAGACAGAGAUCAGAUCCCAGCAGUAACUCAGGGAGAGACCCGAGAGCCAUGGACAUGACUCCACCUAGUUAGAUCCAUUUGAGGUGGGAAUUAAAAUAUUAAACAGGACAAACCACAUGAGAAUGCAGAUGGACAGGUUUUACCCACAGCUGCUGCAACCAGGUGCUAUGCUUGAUAGUAUGACCCAAGAAACCAGCAUAAAGAACUUCAGAAUAUGCAGGAAGAGCUUUCCAGAUAGCACUCAUAUUAGAAAUUAUUUUUUUCAUCUAAAAACUAAGAUAAUUUAUAACAGCUUCCCAACAUAGCAAUGCAGAAGUGAAGGCAUUUUAUGGCAAUUAUUUUACAGAUACAUUUUCAUGUUAGAAUAAAAUAAACUUGGAGAAUUUCAGCUUUGCAUGAUUUAUAAAGUAACAAACAGUUACAAAAAUACCUAGAGCAAGGAAAACAAUUUUAAAAAAUGGAACCAACCCAAAUGCCCAUCAGUCAACGAGUGGAUAAAGAAAAUGUGGCAUAUAUAUAUACAUACCAUGGAAUACUAUUCAGCCAUAAAAAGGAGCAGAAUAAUGGCAUUCACAGCAACCUGGAUGGAACUGAAGAUUAUUAUUUUAAGUGAAGUAACUCCGUACUUUUAUAUUUGAGUCCUUGUAAAUGAACUGUAUCCUAGCUUAAUCGUCAGACAAGAUUGAAAACCUAAUUUAGGAGCAUGCGCCUGUAACAAUAACUGAGUCUUGGCUAAUCCCAGUGGCCAUACUUCAGCCGCUCACAGACUGCUAACUGUUCAAACUGUGUUCAAAUAAGGCAAACACCAACCUGUAACCAAUCCAGCUCUUUCUGUACCUCAUUGCCGAUUUCUGUAUAUAAUUUUCCUUAUUUUUAUUUAUAAAUCUUCCACUACAUGGCUGUGCUGGGCCUCUGUGAAUCUGCUGUGAUUCAGGGGCCACCCCAUUCACAAAUCAUACAUUGCUCAAUUAAACUCCUUUAAAUUUAAUUUGGUUAAAGUUUUUCUUUUAUUGAUAUAUAUAUUCAUAUAUAUAUGUUGUGUAUCUGUAUAUGUAUAUGUAGAAUUAUGCAUAAAUUUAAUUUGGUUGAAGUUUUUCUCUUAUCAAUAAGCAUAUUCAUAUAUAUAUGUUGUGUAUCUGUAUGUAUAUAUAGAGA